rnacentral:lncRNA from 1 species
CACAGAAUUACAAAUUUUAAAUGUAGCAUCCUAUUCUGAGAAUCAUGCAGUUGCUUGUCUCAACUGUCUAUUUGCUAUCCAUUUGUUUGAAUCAAAAGAUGAUGAUUUUAAUUCAUAAUAAUAUUUUGCCAGAUUUUAAUUCAUUGUUUGUUUUGUUUAAAUAAUCUGUUUUCCUUGUUCACAGUGGAUUGGCUGCCCAAAGAACACACGAGCCUUUAUUUAUGUGAAAAGGAUGGGGGAUUUUUAAGAAAAAUUGCAAUAUUCUCAUUUAUAUUGAAGAAAAAUUGGGGCUUUUUAAGCAAAAAC